GCGACGGCGCACGGGUGAGUAACACGUAUCCAACCUGCCGAUAACUCGGGGAUAGCCUUUCGAAAGAAAGAUUAAUACCCGAUGGUAUAAUCAGACCGCAUGGUUUGAUUAUUAAAGAAUUUCGGUUAUCGAUGGGGAUGCGUUCCAUUAGGCAGUUGGUGAGGUAACGGCUCACCAAACCUUCGAUGGAUAGGGGUUCUGAGAGGAAGGUCCCCCACAUUGGAACUGAGACACGGUCCAA
rnacentral:rRNA from 1 species